rnacentral:lncRNA from 10 species
AACAAAAAAUAUGAAAACCAAGAACUUGUCUGAACGUUUUAAUAACCAGAAUGACAAAAGAUUACCUAAACAAAAUUUAAAUUUUGGAAAUAAGCAUUAUCCUCAAACGUGAUAUUGGAAAUACAACAAAUGUGCUUUUUUCUCCUUGAGAGAACAACUGUAUAACGCAAAAUGAAAUUUAGAGUAUUUUAUAAGAAUUACAAUAGCUAAUGUUUUUCAGAGCCUCUUUCAUGGGAGCUACUGUGAUAAUCUACUUAAAUAGCUAUCCAAUCUUCACAACUACACUGGAAAAUAUCAACCAUCUCAAUGCUGGGCAUUUAGAAACUAUCUGUUGCAUAUAAAACAUCUAUUGAAGAAAAUAAUUAUUGACUUGACUAAGAGAAGGUGACUAAGCCUCCAACAGAAGAUGCCUCCGACAGAUCCAGCGCAUAAUGAGCAGAGCAGGUGACCUGGAGUCUGAUCUCCGGAGUCAUCACUUCUAACCUUGGAGGAAAUCCACGAUGGCUCUCUCACUUGUAUUCAUCUCCCAUCUGCAGCCACUCUAUAAAUUACUCUCUCCAUGUAAUCUUUGUUUGACAUUUCUCUUCCCCAAGCAGGAUUUCAGUCACACACUUUGAGGUUUUAUAUAGAAGCUAGACUCAGAACACACAAGAGGUUGCUGUGAGAACGAGCAUUUGUGUGGUCCAAGCACAGCCUGCAAUUUUGCACUCAGUCAGCACCUAGGAGGAAAAAGCCCCGUGCACUUCAGCUGUAUCUUCCAAGAGUGCCAACACGGCUGCCCCAUGAAGCCAACCUUCCCCUGUGAAUGAAUAGGCAACCUGAGAUGCAAUGAGUUUCCAAAGCCAGACCUGAAUACAGCCCGGAUUGCUAGCAGAAACCUGCCUAGACUAAUUCACAGUCACCAUUUGACUGCAUUCUCCUGCCUCUCAGCUAACAAAGGCAUUAUCUCCCAGCACUUCUAAGAGCUAAAUUGCUCUUUUAACAGCAAUUAUAAGAGUGCUAACAAAAAGCUAAAGAUUUGGAGAAUCAAUGUGCUUCUUUUACUUCUAAAUCAUUGUAUCAGAUUUCCUCCUUGAAUUAUAAUUUUAUGCUGUUAAUGAAGAAAAUGCCUCCUUUCAGAGCACUGAAUAAGAAAGGUACAUUUUUGUACAUUCUAAGCCUCCUUUUAAGAAAAAUCACUUUUAUCUCUCCAUUUUAUGGGCAUAAAGAGGGAAAUCAUAUUUUGAAUAAUUACAGGAAACAGUCUGCUACAAAUGGUAUAUGUGAUAAAAUACCUGUUAGCUACAAUUAAGUUAAAAUUUUAGGGAAAAUCACAAAGUAGAUCAAUUUAUUCCCACACAUCAUUCUCCAACUUCAUGUACAAUUAAUUAGAGGAUAAUGUGAAAUAUAAGCAUGGAGCCAUGUGCUUUUAUUGCAUUUCAACUAAAAUCCUUGGUCCUUACUGUCAGAGGCAUGUGAACAACAGCAACUGCAUCUUGAAUAGGAACUACAUAAAAUGAGGCUGAAACCUAUUGAGCUGCAUUCCCAGACAGUAAAGGCAUUCUAAAUCACGGAAUGAGAUAGGAGGUCAGCAUAAGAUACAGACCUUGCUGAUAAAACAGGUUGCAGUAAAGAAACCGGCUAAAUCUCCAAGAUGGCCACGAAAGUACCUCUGGUCAUCCUCACUAUUACACUCCCAUCAGGGCCAUGAGAGUUUACAAAUGCCAUGGCAAUGUCAGGAAGUCACCAUUUAUGGUCUAAAAAGGAGAGGCGUGAAUAAUCCACCCCUUGUUUAGCAUAUCAACAAGAAAUAACCAUAAAAAUGGGCAACCAUCAGCCCUCAGGCCUGCUGUCUAUGGAGUAACCAUUCUUUUAUUCCUUCAUUUUCCUAAUAAACUUGCUUUCACUUUACUGACUCUCCCUGAAUUCUUUCUUGUGCGAGAUCCAAGAACCCUCUUUUGAGGUCUGGACCCGGACCCCUUUCCUGUAAUGUUACUAUCUCUGAUUUCAUGAUUCUGAUGUUUAAAUUACUUGUAAAAUAAAUCCCUAUUUAAUAGUAUCUGUGACUAUACCACAUAAAUAUUUCAUCAGUUAGGGCUAUUCUUGUGCAAUAAACAGUUGAUAGACUUAAGCCCGCCAGAUACAGUAUUUAUCUGCAAUUAAAAUGUAUCAUGUAAUUUUUUUUUUUUUUUUUUUUUUUUUUUGAGACAGGGUCCCUCUCUGUCACAUAGGCUGCAGUGCAGUGGUGUGAUUAUUGCUCACUGCAGACUCGACCUCCUGGCUCAAGGGAUUCUCCCAUCCCGGCACAACCUCCUACCCCUGCCAACCCUCUAGUAGCUGGGACUAAAGGCACACUCUACCAUGCCCAGCUAAUUUUUGUAUUUUUGUGUUUUGUUUGUCUGUUUGUUUGUUUGUUUUUGUAGAAAUGGGGUUGUGCCAUGUUGCUCAGGCUGAUUUCAAACUCCUGGGCUCGAAUCUCAGCUUCCCGAAGUGUUGGAAUUACAGGUCUGAGCCACUGCACCAGGUCUGACAAUGUUUCUAUUUUUAAGAUGUUGUCAAAAGAGGUGAACCUCACUUUGACUGUGAGGUUUUUGAAAGACUUGGAAAAGAAAUUGAUUUAUAUAAGCUUGUCCAACCCAUGGCCUGCAGGCUACAUGCAGCCCAGAACAGCUUUGAAUGUGGCCCAACAUGAAUUCCUAAACUUUCUUAAAACAUUAUGAGAUUUUUUUGCAAUCUUUUCUUCUCAUCAGCUAUCAUUAAUGUUAUAUGUAUUUUACUUACAUGUGGCCCAAUACAAUUCUUCUUCCAAUGUGGCCAGGGAAGCAAAAAGAUUGGACACCCCUGGAUUAAUAGGUACCUUAGUUUCAGAGUAAUUCUUUUCUAAUACAGUUCAUCUAUUAUUUAAAAGGAAAUAGAGUGAAUGUCUUUGAAAGUAUAAUCAGAGAAGAGCCAGCUGUAAUCGUCAAAAUUUUGUAAUCCAAGAAAGAGUCCACCAGUAUUAUUAAA